rnacentral:rRNA from 1 species
AGAGUUUGAUCCUGGCUCAGAACAAACGCUGGCGGCGUGUCUUAAGCAUGCAAGUCGAGCGGCAAGGGCAGCAAUGCCCCUAGAGCGGCGGACUGGUGAGUAACGCGUGGGUGAUCUACCGAGGGCAUGGGGAUAGCCACUAGAAAUAGUGGGUAAUACCGAAUACGUUCGCAUGGGUAAAGCCAUGUGAGGAAAGGCGCUACGGCGCCGGCCUAUCGAUGAGCUCGCGUCCCAUUAGCUAGUUGGUGAGGUAAAGGCCCACCAAGGCGAUGAUGGGUAGCCGGCCUGAGAGGGUGUACGGCCACACUGGGACUGAGAUACGGCCCAGACUCCUACG